rnacentral:lncRNA from 1 species
CAGGGUGUAUAAAAGUAAUAAAUUAAAAUCCUUAAACUUCUCCUCAAUCAUAACCUCAGCUCUUCUAACACCUAUCUUGCCAAAUAACUCAUCUGUAAAAUAAUAGGUGAGGGGUGAGCAACAACCACUAUCACUCAGUGAGUAGAAUAAAUAAUAUGCCAGUCAAGCUUGCCAUUUUAAUCACACUAUAAAAUAGGAUAAUAAUAUCAAAGCUUUAGCCACAUAAUUCCAUAUCACAUCAUCCCUUUACGUGUCCAUUAUAUCCUUCAUAAAUUGUAACUCACCACGUGACUCCUAAUGGCCAUCUGCCCUAAUGUCCCCGAGUGUAGUUUACAUUUAUCCCUCGGAUUAAUGCAACACCAAAGUUCUCAUGCUCCAUGAACAUCUCAAGUAAUUUCUUAUACAAUAUAUAUCCCAUCAUAAAACAUUUACACAAAAUCCAACAUGCUUGACUUAAAAUAGAUAGAGAUUUGAAAUAUAGAAAACCCACAAUAGCUCAUGGUUUUCAUUUAUCAAAAAAUAAGAAUAUUUUAAACACAUUACAUAAACCACUCACCUUGAUAAUCCAAGCUUUGGCAAGACAACCCAACUAACAAUCUCCACACAACAAACCCUAAACCCUAUUUCUUUCUCUCUUUACCCUCACUCCCUUUCUCUACACUGAACCUUCGCUGCAUGCUCUGCAUGUUUC